GCCUCUUGAAUAAAUAUAAGAGGUCCAGCCUGCCCAGUGACUCUGUUCAACGGCCGCGGUAUCCUAACCGUGCGAAGGUAGCGUAAUCACUUGUUCUUUAAAUAAGGACUAGUAUGAAUGGCACCACGAAGGUUAUACUGUCUCCUCUUUUUAAUCAGUGAAACUAAUCUCCCCGUGAAGAAGCGGGAAUGAAACUAUAAGACGAGAAGACCCUAUGGAGCUUUAAACCACGUAGAACUUGCACCCACCAAACACAAAUUCCAGAAAAUUAUACUUCAUCCAUGCAAGAUUACUACCAGUUUUAGGUUGGGGUGACCGCGGAGCAAAAAUAAACCUCCACAUUGAAAGGAACCCACUCCUUAGCCAAGAGCCACACCUCUAUGCAACAUAACAAUGACAUUAAUUGACCCAAUAUUUUGAUCAACGAACCAAGUUACCCUAGGGAUAACAGCGCAAUCCACUUUAAGAGCUCCUAUCGACAAGUGGGUUUACGACCUCGAUGUUGGAUCAGGGUAUCCCGGUGGUGCAGCC
rnacentral:rRNA from 1 species